rnacentral:lncRNA from 13 species
GAAAUGGCAAUCACUCCCAGUGAUGGCUUCUUAUUCCUGGACACAGACUGGCUGAUUGGAAACCACUCGGAGGAGCUCUUGCCGUGGAUCCCCGUUAUAGCAGCCAGGUCAUCCUUCUCCGGCCGGUACAUUGUUCUGCCGUUUCUUUGACUUCUAUGGGAAGUACCAGCGGAGACAGUUUCAGAAGUCCCAGUAUAAGGAAUACAUUGACUUCAUCUCUGAGAUCAGCACAGCCUGUGGCUUCAACACAGAGGAGGACUGCCUGAGAAUCCCCUCCACAAAGCGGAUAUCCUAAUGGAGCGGCAGGUAGCCUAGUGGUUAGAGCGUUGGGCUAGUAAACGAAAGGUUGCUGGAUCGAAUCCCAGAGAUGAUAAGAUAAAAAUCUAUCGUUCUGCCCCUGAACAAGGCAGUUAACCCACUCUUCCCUGGUAGGCUGUCAUUGUGAAUAAGAAUGUGUUGUUAACUGACUUGCCUAGUUAAAUAAAGGUUCAAUUAAAAAAAAUAACACCCACACUUGAACACAUGGUUCCGUGUGGCUCAGUUGGUAGAGCAUGAUGCUUGCAACGUCAGGGUUCAAUUCCCAUUGGGAAAAGUACAAAAAUGUAUGCACUCACUACUGUUAGUCGCUCUGGAUAAGAGCAUCUCCUAAAACACCAAAAAUACAAAAAUAACAAUAAAAAAAUACAAAUAAAUUUAAAAAACACAGAAUAUGCUAACAUAAGCCAGUCACAUUGUUUUAAUCUAACCCCUUACUCUGCAGGUGUGUCUGGUAGACUUGGUGCUACCAGUCAAGGAGCUACCAGCUGUCAGACGAGUGGAGAGCCAAAUAUACAGGGUCGUCAGACCUGGUCCGGGGUCACAGUACAAGGGUCAAACGUCGAGGGGGAAGCUGAGACUGACAGGUCCCAUGGGAACAACUGGGGAGCUGGGUUCCAGCCCCGAGAGAGGAUUGAGACUGUGGAAUUGCGCCGCCCUCCCCCGGGAUUUUGUAGAUGCCCCAGCCCCAGUAUAGUCUUACGUGUGGCCAACACUCUGCUUGGUCGACUGACAAGGGCGGGGAUGUCCCUGAUGCCUGGAGCACUGGAGUAAAGGCGGUAUGUUCCAUAUCCGGAACUGGCGGGUACAGACCCAGAAUGCUGAAAGGUACCAGGGCUGAUGCUAAACUGAAGCCCCUACUCUCUGGUGUCCUGAAAAUCCGGGCCUGCUGGUUCCAUGCCCCUCACCCCAACGGAUGCCCCCUGCCGGCCGAGGAGUGUGACUUUGCCCGUUGAGCCGACGACCUUCAACCUUCCACCAGACUACUCAAGAAAAUGAAGAACUCAAAUUAAACGCACGAUUCAGUUUAGACCGUUGCUUUAUUUUUAUUUGACUUGUUUUUAUUUAUGCUGUGAAACGAUGGUACACAAACACCUGUGACUACAAAGUAAUUUGUACAUACUUGGUUGUAAUUUAUUGGACUUUUCAGACCUAAAUCUGGUUAGAUACGGUACUUUUGAGUUUGUAAUCGGGGAGCAAGCUUUGCUAUUUGUUUUGCACAUCGCAAAUAUAACAUCUAAAAUAUAAACAUCCUAUUGUCUUUAUUACCUCACAAAAACAGGUCAGAAGGAAGGACAUGGGCUUAAAACUGUAAAUGUCAGGGACAUUAAUUAUGUAUUGGGUAGUGUUCGGGGGGUGUCCUGUGUGCUGCUCUCUGUGUUCCCGUCUGUGUUCUUCUAACCCCUGGGCUCGUAACCAUGUGGCUCAAAGGUCAUAUGGAGGCAGUAGAGGGCUGUCGUGUCUUUGGCUAUGCCGGAUUAAGUGAUAUGACAUGCUAUUCUAUAAAAUAAUUUCUCCGUAAUUAAUAUUACAUGAUUGAGCUAAUCAUGUAAAUGUAAUUAACUAGAGAGUCGGGCACCACAAAAUAAUAUUUAUAGAGCUGUUAUCUUCCGAAUAAACUCUUAAAGACCUAGUAAUAUUGUACAUCAAUAGCAGUCAAUAUUAAUCGUCAUCUUAAUUCAGUCUCAUCUGAAAGUUGUAAAUUCUUGGUUACCUGCACGAACCCUGGCUAACAAGUUGAACCAACAAUACAAAAUUGGGUUUAAUUAUUUAUUUACUAAAUACCUAACCAAUUACACAUACACAUAAUUAAAUCAUAACUUGAUUACAAAUUACGUCAUAAAGGAAAACGUCCCUAGCGGGCGGAACAGAUAUGACAGCUUGUUACACAAAAGAAAAGGGGCUAGGCUUGAGUGAAAGAGCGGGAAGACUGUGGAGCAAAGGGCGAAGCUGUGCUAUCGUAAAUACAGUAUCUUAUGCAUUCUAAAUUACCGCCCAUUUGGAAAAGGAAAAUGCAAUAAAUAUUUACUCUGAGCUGCACUUCGGUAGGUUGGUGUUAGAUGGAAGGCCGUGUUGUCCAACCGAGUCCUUUGUUCUUUUGAAGAAUGUCUCUGCUGGUAAAUUGAAUACGUUGUAACGUCGUUGUGUGGUAGACGGGAUACUCUGUCUGUUCCUUCCUAACCCUUGUUUGCAGCUGCUGUUGCCAACUCAACGGCUAGGAGGUAUCACCUCUGUAGUGAAUAAGAGUUCAAAGUUCAUACCAUUUGCAACCAAAGCUCACGCUGAUGUUGGCUUCGUUCUGUAGUUAUUAUCUGAACCAUUCUGACAUCGGAUCGUCUUCCUCACGUCCUCGGAACAGAAUUGUUAUAUUGUCGUCAAGGGCUUAUAUAGGAAGGGAGAGGAGGGCUUGUUUGAGAAGUUUUAUAGCCCAUGUCCCUUCACAGUGGCAGGCCACUGAUUGAGCAGCCCUAUCUUAUGAAAACCCAAAUCUCACAUUUUAGAAGCUAAAAUCACAUUUCAUCCCAUCACAAAUAAUUUCAUAUUCAAACAUUUAAAAUGAACAACAAUUCCAUGUGAAUCUGAUAACUCUGAUGUGUAGACUUUCCAAUGUAGAGUUUGUCAUCUUAUCAUUGAUGACAAUGUCUCAGAUGACAACCGAACUGACAUCAUAUUCAUUAAGUGCCACCGCAUAUGUUCCAUUGGUCAGAUUACCAGAAUAUAGUUCAUUUCCCCCCACCUUCUGAUGUUCUCAGAAUCUCUAUGUUAACCAAGGGUUUUGCAAAUGUAACAUCAGUAGGGUAGAGAGAGGAAAAGGGGGGGAAGAGGUAUUUAUGACUCAUAAACCUACCCCCCCAGGCCAACGUCAUGACAGGGACCACCAUGGUGUCAGGAGAUGUCUACUGCCAUCCAGGACCUCUACACCAGGUGGUAUCAGAGGAAGGCCCUAAAAAUGGUCAAAGACCCCAGCCACCCCAGUCAAAGACUGUUCUCUCUACUAUCGCAUGGCAAGCGGUACCGGAGUGCCAAGUCUAGGACAAAAAGGCUUCUCAAUAGUUUUUUACCCCCAAGCCAUAAGACUCCUGAACAGGUAACCCCCCCCAACCCCUCUUUUACGCUGCUGCUACUCUGUUUAACAUAUAUGCAUAGUCACUUGAUCUAUACAUUAAUGUAAAUACUACCUCAAUUGGGCCGACCAACCAGUGCUCCCGCACAUUGGCUAACCGGGCUAUCUGCAUUGUCCCGCCAACCCCUCUUUUACUCUACUGCUACUCUGUUCAUCAUGUAUGCAUAGUAACUUUAACCAUAUCUACAUGAACAUACUACCUCAAUCAGCCUGACUAACCGGUGUCUGCAUAUAGCCUCGCUACUGUAUAUAGCCUGUUUUUUUAUUGUUGUUUUAUUUCUUUACUUACCAAUUGUUCACCUAAUACUGUUUUUGCACUAUUGGUUAGAGCCUGUAAGUAAGCAUUUCACUGUAUGGUCUACACUUGUUGUAUUCGGCGCACAUGACAAAUAAACUUUGCUUUGAUUUGAUCGCAGUCUCUCCACAGACACCUGUACCUGUACCUGUAUGUCAGUUGUGUUCAAAAAAUUAUUCUGCACAUCUGUGGAUUUGUAGGUCAGCCUGAGUGCUAGUCUCUUUUCUACUUAGCUAUCGUUGGGUCAGCUAGCGCCUUGUACCUGUGACUGCAUUACAGCCUUGCUAAAAUUACAUUGAAAUGACAUUAUAUUUGUCACAUGCGCCGAAUACAACAGAUGUAGACCUUACUGUGCAAUACUUACUUACAUGUCUUUAACCAACAACGCGGUUUUAAGAAAAUAGAAUAAACUAAAGUAAAAAAGAAAAAGAAACACAAUAACAAUAAUGAGGCUAUAUUCAGGGGGCACCAGUACCCCUUCUGGUAUUAUAGUUUAAUAAACAAUUUUUGUGUGAAUAUUUCUAUUGGGAUUGGGUAUUUAGCAUGAAUGCAAACACACAAGCACUACAUCUACUUGACUUUCCAAUAGAGGACACAUCUAUUAUC